rnacentral:lncRNA from 1 species
AGGGAUUUGGGAGCUUCCAGUGAGGGGGUGGCUUAUGGUUGCCUUUCCCGUAAGCCUGCCCCCCACAUCUCUCAGCCUUAGGGAAAGGGGACUCUGUCGUCUGGAGAAGCGGCUCCUGUGUGGCCCUCAGGGACUGCCUACUUGGCAGCUCUGUCUCUGCCUUCACCUCCAGCGUGGACUUUGGCUUCCAGAUCAACUCCACCUGUUGCCAAGGCAACUGCCAAGCACUCACUCCUCCCGAAGGGGUGCCAGCCUCACACCCCCUGAGCGGGUUCCUGUGUCCUACAUGUUCUAACGGCCACCCGGGGCCCUGCAAUUCCUCCUUCUACGUGCAGUGUCCCGUUGGGGAGACUGAAUGUGUCCAGCUGGACCUGCUGUCUAUAGAAGGCAGCCAGAACGUGACCCUGCGCGGCUGCGGCUCCCAAAACCUGUGCGGGGUCUCCGCCGCCACCGCCAAGGCGCUGCUGACGUUCCCCGGCCACCGGCUGGCCCACCAGCCCCACUGCAGCACCACCCGGCGCGCCAUCCUGGAAUCCGAGUGCCCCUCUGGCGCGCCGCCUGGCCUCCGCCUCGCCCGCUCCGUGCUGCUGGUGGCCCUGGGCUUCCUGGCCCUCUCCUGAGCAGUCCCGCCUCCACCCUAACCCUCCACCACCCUCGCCCCGCAGCCACUCAACCCCCGCUUGCUUCCCACCUCGCUAGAGGGCGCCCUGGCUCCCCUCCCCUUCCACGUUUCUAGGCCUGGAAGCUUCUGGUGAGAAAAGUCAGAAGGACUGAGCCUCCUCCCUCAGACUAAGGGCUUCCCCAAGGCAAGUCCUCUUUCUUAACACCAGGGUCCCGAAGGAUGUAGCUCCUCCCUCCUACUAGGCUGUACUUCUCAGACCUCAGACUAGAGAGGCCUCUGCGGAC